ensembl:snRNA U6 U6 spliceosomal RNA
GUGCUUGCUAUGGUAGCACAUAUACUAAAUCAGGAGCCAUACAGAGAUGAUUAGCACGGACCCUACCCAAGGAUGACAUGCAAAUUCACAAAGUGUGCCAUAUUUUU